UACAGAGGGUGCUAGCGUUGUUCGGAAUCAUUGGGUGUAAAGGGCGUGUAGGCGGUUUUGUUAAGUCAUGUGUGAAAUCCCUCGGCUCAACCGGGGAACGACGCAUGAAACUGGCAAGCUAGAGUACCAAAGAGGGGGGUGGAAUUCCUGGUGUAGCGGUGAAAUGCGCAGAUAUCAGGAGGAACACCGGUGGCGAAGGCGGAUCUCUGGGCCAUUACUGACGCUGAGGAGCGAAAGCAUGGGGAGCGAACAGG
rnacentral:rRNA from 1 species